AUUGAACGCUGGCGGAAUGCUUUACACAUGCAAGUCGAACGGCAGCACGGGGGCAGCCCUGGUGGCGAGUGUCGAACGGGUGAGUAAUACAUCGGAACGUGCCCGGUCGUGGGGGAUAACGUAGCGAAAGUUACGCUAAUACCGCAUACGAUCUGAGGAUGAAAGCGGGGGACCUUCGGGCCUCGCGCGAUCGUAGCGGCCGAUGUCAGAUUAGGUAGUUGGUGGGGUAAAGGCCUACCAAGCCGACGAUCUGUAGCUGGUCUGAGAGGACGACGAGCCACACUGGGACUGAGACACGGCCCAGACUCCUACGGGAGGCAGCAGUGGGGAAUUUUGGACAAUGGGCGCAAGCCUGAUCCAGCCAUUGCGCGUGCAGGACGAAGGCCUUCGGGUUGUAAACUGCUUUUGUACGGAACGAAAAGGCUCUGGCUAAUACCUGGGGCUCAUGACGGUACCGUAAGAAUAAGCACCGGCUAACUACGU
rnacentral:rRNA from 1 species